GUAGGGAAUAUUGGACAAUGGGGGGAACCCUGAUCCAGCCAUGCCGCGUGGAGGAAGACUGCCCUCUGGGUUGUAAACUCCUUUUAUAUGGGAAGAACCGUCCUCAUUAAUGAGUGACCUGACGGUACCAUAGGAAUAAGCACCGGCUAACUCCGUGCCAGCAGCCGCGGUAAUACGGAGGGUGCAAGCGUUAUCCGGAUUCACUGGGUUUAAAGGGUGCGUAGGCGGAUAAAUAAGUCAGUGGUGAAAUCAACGGGCUCAACCUGUUAACUGCCAUUGAUACUGUGUAUCUUGAAUAUGAGAGAGGUAGGCGGAAUGUUGCAUGUAGCGGUGAAAUGCUUAGAUAUGCUACGGAACACCGAUUGCGAAGGGAGCUUACUAUUUCGUAAUUGACGCUGAGGCACGAAAGCGUGGGUAGCGAACAGGAUUAGAAACCCGGGUAGUCC
rnacentral:rRNA from 1 species